AGACCAUGGUGCAGACAUCUUUGGACCAACAUCUUAAAUCAUUCCCAUGCCUCAUGAAAACUUUCUCCUUCUAGUUGUUUAAGCGUGACAAUCUCCCUCCUGAGUUG
rfam:Gossypium hirsutum cultivar TM-1 chromosome 21, whole genome shotgun sequence